ACGAACGCUGGCGGCGUGCUUAACACAUGCAAGUCGCACGGAAAGGCCCUGCUUGCAGGGUACUCGAGUGGCGAACGGGUGAGUAACACGUGGGUGAUCUGCCCUGCACUUCGGGAUAAGCUUGGGAAACUGGGUCUAAUACCGGAUAGGAGCCAUCUUUAGUGUGGUGGUUGGAAAGUUUUUUCGGUGUAGGAUGAGCUCGCGGCCUAUCAGCUUGUUGGUGGGGUAAUGGCCUACCAAGGCGGCGACGGGUAGCCGGCCUGAGAGGGUGUACGGCCACAUUGGGACUGAGAUACGGCCCAGACUCCUACGGGAGGCAGCAGUGGGGAAUAUUGCACAAUGGGCGCAAGCCUGAUGCAGCGACGCCGCGUGGGGGAUGAAGGCCUUCGGGUUGUAAACUCCUUUCGCUAGGGACGAAGCUUUUUGUGACGGUACCUAGAUAAGAAGCACCGGCUAACUACGUG
rnacentral:rRNA from 1 species